GACGAACGCUGGCGGCGUGCUUAACACAUGCAAGUCGAGCGGUAAGGCCCUUUCGGGGGUACACGAGCGGCGAACGGGUGAGUAACACGUGGGUGACCUGCCCUCAGCUCUGGGAUAAGCCCGGGAAACUGGGUCUAAUACCGGAUAUGACUUCAUGACGCAUGUUGUGGAGUGGAAAGCCUUGUGCGGCUGAGGAUGGGCCCGCGGCCUAUCAGCUUGUUGGUGGGGUGANGGCCUACCAAGGCGACGACGGGUAGCCGGCCUGAGAGGGCGCCCGGCCACACUGGGACUGAGAUACGGGCCCAGACUCCUACGGGAGGCAGCAGUGGGGAAUCUUGCGCAAUGGGCGAAAGCCUGACGCAGCGACGCCGCGUGA
rnacentral:rRNA from 1 species